UACAGAGGUCUCGAGCGUUAGGCGGAAUCACUGGGCUUAAAGCGUGUGUAGGCGGAUCGUUAAGUACCUUGUGAAAUCCCACGGCUUAACCGUGGAACUGCUUGGUAUACUGGCGGUCUUGAGCCAGCUAGGGGCUACCGGAACAAAUGGUGGAGCGGUGAAAUGCGUAGAUAUCAUUUGGAACGCCAAUGGUGAAAACAGGUAGCUGGGGCUGUGCUGACGCUGAGACACGAAAGCCAGGGAGCAAACGGG
rnacentral:rRNA from 1 species